GAGUAACGCGUGGGUAACCUGGCCCAUACAGGGGGAUAACACUUAGAAAUAGGUGCUAAUACCGCAUAACAACAGAAAGCGCAUGCUUUUUGUUUGAAAACCAAGGUGGUAUGGGAUGGACCCGCGUCUGAUUAGCUGGUUGGCGGGGUAAAGGCCCACCAAGGCGACGAUCAGUAGCCGGCCUGAGAGGGUGGACGGCCACAUUGGGACUGAGACACGGCCCAAACUCCUACGGGAGGCAGCAGUGGGGAAUAUUGCACAAUGGGGGAAACCCUGAUGCAGCGACGCCGCGUGAGUGAAGAAGUAAUUCGUUAUGUAAAGCUCUAUCAGCAGGGAAGAAAAUGACGGUACCUGAGUAAGAAGCCCCGGCUAACUACGUGCCAGCAGCCGCGGUAAUACGUAGGGGGCAAGCGUUAUCCGGAUUUACUGGGUGUAAAGGGAGCGUAGACGGCAGUGCAAGUCUGGAGUGAAAGGCGGGGGCUCAACCCCCGGACUGCUCUGGAAACUGUACGGCUGGAGUGCAGGAGAGGUAAGUGGAAUUCCUAGUGUAGCGGUGAAAUGCGUAGAUAUUAGGAGGAACACCAGUGGCGAAGGCGGCUUACUGGACUGUAACUGACGUUGAGGCUCGAAAGCGUGGGGAGCAAACAGGAUUAGAUACCCUGGUAGUCCACGCCGUAAACGAUGAUCACUAGGUGU
rnacentral:rRNA from 1 species